rnacentral:misc_RNA from 1 species
GAUGAAGAACGUAGCGAAAUGCGAUAAGUAAUGCGAAUUGCAGAUCUCCGUGAGUCAUUGAAUCUUUGAACGCACAUUGCGCCCUCGGGUAUUCCCGAGGCAUGCCUGUCCGAGCGUCAUUAUCCAACCAUCAAGCUCGGCUUGCGGUUGAGCCCCGCACCGUCCCCGGGACGGUGGGCUCGAAACAUGUUGGGCGCCCGUGAGGUUCUCGGUGCAGCGAGCUCUCGAGCACGUGCCGGGCAACCUCUCUGGGCGUCGGCCAACCCCCCAAUUUCUCAGGUUGACCUCGGAUCAGGUAGGAAUACCCGCUGAACUUAAGCAUAUCAAUAAGCGGAGGA